GUGAACGCUGGCGGUAGGCCUAACCCAUGCCAGUCGAACGGCAGCACAGUAAGAGCUUGCUCUUACGGGUGGCGAGUGGCGGACGGGUGAGGAAUACAUCGGAAUCUACUUUUUCGUGGGGGAUAACGUAGGGAAACUUACGCUAAUACCGCAUACGACCUACGGGUGAAAGCAGGGGAUCUUCGGACCUUGCGCGAUUGAAUGAGCCGAUGUCGGAUUAGCUAGUUGGCGGGGUAAAGGCCCACCAAGGCGACGAUCCGUAGCUGGUCUGAGAAGAUGAUCAGCCACACUGGAACUGAGACACGGUCCAGACUCCUACGGGAGGCAGCAGUGGGGAAUAUUGGACAAUGGGCGCAAGCCUGAUCCAGCCAUACCGCGUGGGUGAAGAAGGCCUUCGGGUUGUAAAGCCCUUUUGUUGGGAAAGAAAAGCAGCAGGUUAAUACCCCGCUGUUCUGACGGUACCCAAAGAAUAAGCACCGGCUAACUUCGUG
rnacentral:rRNA from 1 species